UAUUGCAAGCACAAUAUAUUUACUUAGAGUUAGAGUAAAAUUAAGAUAAUAGAUGGCGCAAACGGAUUUUUUUUCUCAACGUUGACAUGUUAGUAUUAUAAUCUGUGACAAUGAUCUGUGACAUUGUCAAGGUGACAGUUGUUAGUUGACAUACGAUUAUAUCUGAUGUUUGGUGGGCAAAGAAUACAAGGUCUUUGUUUGGUGGGGUUUAUUGAUUACGUCUUCAUUUUGUAUUGGCAAAAAUAUAUCUCCAACUCCUGUAAGUAUCUAAUUAGUUACUAAAACUGGAAGAUAAUUAAAAACAUAGCUAAGGUCCUACCUAGAACGCAAUCGUCCCUUAUCAUCCCGGGCGUGUCGUAAACCCGACUGAGGAGAACCUUUAUGAAAGACAAGUCUUUUCUAGCAUGAUGAAACAUUACAUUGGACCACCGGUUAAGCACCUGAGGACUUUGUAUAAAGUGCUUCCAAAUUGGUCUCUGCUUACUCGUGGCUCUGCCCAGCCUAAUCGGGAUUACAGGCGUGAGUAUAAGUAUGUAUGUAGUAGAUACUUUUUUCUGUCACCUAUCUAUGGUACAAAUCAUAAUAUACUGUUUGUUGAAAAAAAGUUAAAUAAGUCUAGUUAGGCAGUGAGCGUGUUGUGAAUUUAAGCCUGUAAUUUAUUUCAGAUCUCUAAAGACGAUGAUAACCAUUAUGAAGAAUGACAUGCAAAGGCUAUUUGAACCACAUAUCAACAAUUUUCUGACCAUGACCAAGUGAUGAAUAUGAUACAAGUCUACCUCAUGAAAGCCACACUACUUUUCAAAGAAAAAUAUUUUCUUUGGAGUUGUAGAUAUUAUAGUGAAAACUUAAUCCUGACUUCUGUUCUGCAUAAAUGAGAAUCGCACUAUGCCAGGUAACAUAAUAUAGCGAGUACCCUGGUUGAGUCAAGAUAAUAUAAAAUAAGUGGAAAGAUAAUGUGGCCCAAGUAGUAAAGGAAAGGAUGUGCAAACAGCCGAAUGUGAAUCUGGCAAUAAUGUGCCUGUUUAAAUGAGUUUUAGUUGAGUACCAAAUAGUUACCUAGGUUUUCCUGGGAAAAACACUG